GGGGGGCAGGGGGCAACCUGACGGAGCACGCCGCGUGUGAUGAAGGCUUUCGGGUUGUAAACUCUGUCUUCUGAGACGAACCCUUACGGGAGGAAAUGCCCGUAAGUUGACGGUAUCAGAGGAGGAAGCCCCGGCUAACUACGUGCCAGCAGCCGCGGUAAUACGGGAGCCAGCAGCCG
rnacentral:rRNA from 1 species